GAUGAACGCUGGCGGCGUGCUCAACACAUGCAAGUCGAACGAUGAAGCCCAGCUUGCUGGGUGGAUUAGUGGCGAACGGGUGAGUAACACGUGAGUAACCUGCCCUUAACUCUGGGAUAAGCCUGGGAAACUGGGUCUAAUACCGGAUAGGAGCGUCCACCGCAUGGUGGGUGUUGGAAAGAUUUAUCGGUUUUGGAUGGACUCGCGGCCUAUCAGCUUGUUGGUGAGGUAAUGGCUCACCAAGGCGACGACGGGUAGCCGGCCUGAGAGGGUGACCGGCCACACUGGGACUGAGACACGGCCCAGACUCCUACGGGAGGCAGCAGUGGGGAAUAUUGCACAAUGGGCGCAAGCCUGAUGCAGCGACGCCGCGUGAGGGAUGACGGCCUUCGGGUUGUAAACCUCUUUCAGUAGGGAAGAAGCGAAAGUGACGGUACCUGCAGAAGAAGCACCGGCUAACUACGUG
rnacentral:rRNA from 1 species